rnacentral:rRNA from 1 species
CACGUAGGGCGCAAGCGUUGUCCGGAAUUAUUGGGCGUAAAGAGCUCGUAGGCGGUCUGUUGCGUCCGCUGUGAAAACUCGGGGCUUAACCCCGAGCCUGCAGUGGAUACGGGCAGACUAGAGGUAGGUAGGGGAGAAUGGAAUUCCCGGUGUAGCGGUGAAAUGCGCAGAUAUCGGGAGGAACACCGGUGGCGAAGGCGGUUCUCUGGGCCUUACCUGACGCUGAGGAGCGAAAGCAUGGGGAGCGAACAGGG